UGCCUAAUACUGCAAGUCGAGCGGACAGAAGGGAGCUUGCUCCCGGAUGUUAGCGGCGGACGGGUGAGUAACACGUGGGUAACCUGCCUGUAAGACUGGGAUAACUCCGGGAAACCGGAGCUAAUACCGGAUAGUUCCUUGAACCGCAUGGUUCAAGGAUGAAAGACGGUUUCGGCUGUCACUUACAGAUGGACCCGCGGCGCAUUAGCUAGUUGGUGAGGUAACGGCUCACCAAGGCGACGAUGCGUAGCCGACCUGAGAGGGUGAUCGGCCACACUGGGACUGAGACACGGCCCAGACUCCUACGGGAGGCAGCAGUAGGGAAUCUUCCGCAAUGGACGAAAGUCUGACGGAGCAACGCCGCGUGAGUGAUGAAGGUUUUCGGAUCGUAAAGCUCUGUUGUUAGGGAAGAACAAGUGCAAGAGUAACUGCUUGCACCUUGACGGUACCUAACCAGAAAGCCACGGCUAACUACGUGCCAGCAGCCGCGGUAAUACGUAGGUGGCAAGCGUUGUCCGGAAUUAUUGGGCGUAAAGGGCUCGCAGGCGGUUUCUUAAGUCUGAUGUGAAAGCCCCCGGCUCAACCGGGGAGGGUCAUUGGAAACUGGGAAACUUGAGUGCAGAAGAGGAGAGUGGAAUUCCACGUGUAGCGGUGAAAUGCGUAGAGAUGUGGAGGAACACCAGUGGCGAAGGCGACUCUCUGGUCUGUAACUGACGCUGAGGAGCGAAAGCGUGGGGAGCGAACAGGAUUAGUCCUUGGUAUUCAC
rnacentral:rRNA from 1 species